GCUUCGAACGCCGCCACGCCUGCACUCAUCCCUGGCUGCAGUCUCCCCCGCGGCCGGGAUGCAAGCUCUCGUGCUCCGAGCGGCUGUGCGCGUGACCUCGAGGGCGGACGGCGGCACUGGGAGGAGGCCCCGCCGGCCGCAUGCGUGAGUCAGCGUUCCACGAGGAUCUCUCUGUCUAGCGUGGCAGAUUCCAGGAAGGCUCCGCUGGCGCCAAAUCUGGGCGCGUGAGGGCAGGACUAGCACAUUCAAGGCGGGCUUUGCCGGCGCCAGAUCCGGGGAUCGUGAGGCCAGGAGCAGCAAAUGCUUGCAGCUUACGUGGGAGAGCAACGACAGAGUACAACAAGAGGAGCUGCUGCAACUCAGUUGUGCGACGCUCCCAUUCGAGACCAUGGUGGUCCCAAGGCCUAGGCUCUUCCCACGGUGACCUUCCUGCGUGCACAAGCGAGGCGACCAGAAACAGCCGCCGCGCCUCCGGAGCAGAGGCUCCAAACACGGGACCAUUGAGACAAACAUUCGAUGUGUGCUUGCGCCUGGCAUGACGGCCAGACGCCCGGACCACGACGGCGUGCGCGAGAAUUGCAGUACACGACUGCUGCUGCUGGUGUCAACUGUCAAAUAGUAGUAGUAGUGUACUACUCAAAUUGGAGGCUUCUGAUUUUUCCCGCUCUACUGGAGGAGAGCGGUGGAGCUCGACACCGAGAUCGAGGCGUGUGUUGGAGCUUCUUGGAGAUGGUGGCUAGAAUCGGGCAGCACAUGGCGGCUACACAGGCGGCCGGGAGAGUAUCGAGCUGCUAGGGCCUGCUGCUGCUGGUUAGCUUUGUCGACGGGAGGCUGCAGCACUUAAGGCGGACAUCAAAUUCCGAGGUGACCGCCAACUUCAUGCCCACAGAAGCUUUGGGUAGGGUUGGCGACGCGAGAAAUCCUCUGUUCACCCGACUAAGAGCAACAUGCGGCAUUCCAGAUCUAAACAAGAUCUUUGGAGAGUCAACCAUUGUUUUAAUUUUUGGGGAGUUGGUUAACGUAUUUGAAUGCUUCUUACAUAUUUUGUGUCUGUGUGAUCUUUGGAGUGUAGCAGUGGUGAAAACAACUUGAUGUUUGUUGCACGUGUAGGUAGUGCAACACAUGCAUAAGACACACUUGACGCCCUCUAUCGUCCACAGUUUGUUUUUGUGUACUAAGUCAACCAGUUAGUUGUAGUGUUUCUGGCAUAUGUCCUACUUCAUUAUCCACAUCUACUUCAUAAGAGCAGGAUUUGCAUUCUAUGAAACCAAUUCUAUUUACUGGUGUGAAAUAUGAUUCUUUAACUGUUGAGCUCAUCUUUGGGUCUACUACAAUAUUUGUACACUGAACUUCUUCUCUGGGUGUUCAGAAGUAACAACAACAUACCAAUGGAAGGUUGCUGCUAUAAA